CUGCAUGUUUUUGAAAGUGGGAGGAAGCUGGAGCACCGGGAUGGAACCCAUGCGAACACAGGGAGAACAUGCAAACUCCACACAGAAAGGAUCAAGUCGGAA